AGAUGGUUGGAUGGCAUCACUGACCCAAUGGACCUGAGUCUGAGGAAGCUCUGGGAGAUGGUGUGGCGUGCUGCAGUCCAUAGGGUUGCAAAGAGUCGGAGAUGAUUUAGCAACCGAGAGGCAGCCAUAGUUAACGCUAAGUUUUAAGGCACAGUAAUAGUAGGUGUUUGCAUUGAUGUGAAUAGAAAUCGUGUCCCUGAUCCUUAUCCAGUGAAGAUUACUGAGGUUUUCCCCAGGAAUAGAGCCACAAAACCAUGCUAUUCAUCUAGAUUCAGUGGACUACUCCUGCAAGACUCACCGGUCUUCUUCCUCGAAAGCAACACUUACUGAAAAGUUGAGGACAGACAACAGAUUCCUGACUCCCUUCAGAUGGCUUACUUCUGUCUCAGAGCAGUGGCUUGACGUUUGUGACGUCAACCCCUCCAACCUGAACUCGUAAGGGGAAAAACAGGCAAAUGGAGAGACAGAGAGUUUCUAGGAGAGUAAGUCUGAUUUAUUUUACAAAGAAAACAAACCAGAUUUUUACUAACCGAAACAAAUAUGGCUCCUUAAAACUCAAUGGGAAAAGCAUUACGUGAGCUGUUAAAUUACUUGAUUGGAAAAUCCAAUUUCUCAGGUAGAAAACAUAAUUCAACAAGUCAUUUUACUAAAGGUUAAAGAAAAGCAUGCUGAGGAAUCCGUCUGCCUUCCACUUUGUCUAGGGCUCUGUAGCCACAUUCCCAACACUCUCCAUCUUGUCCCUCCACCCACACUGGCCCUGAUCUCAUGGGGAGACAGAAGGCAGCCAUGGCCAUGGGUCCAAUCAUGGGAGAUGCCACUCACGCCCUGAAACCCAAGGACACGGAAAUGAUUGUGUGUGCGUGGGUAUGCUCGUCACUCAGUUGUGUCCAACUCUUUGUGACUUGAUGGACUACAGCCCGCCAGCCCUCCUCUGUCCAUGGGAUUUCCCAGGCAAUACUGGAGUGGGUAGCCAUUCUCUUCCCCAGGAGAUCUUCUUGACCCAAGGAUUGAACCUAAGUCUCCUGCACUGCAGGCAGGUUCUUCUACCAGCUGAGCCACAGAGGAAGCCCAAGAAUCCUGGAGUGGGUAGCCUAUCCCUUCUCCAGUGGAUCUUCCUGACCCAGGAAUCAAUCCAGGGUCUCCUGCACUGAAGGCGGAUUCUUUACCAACUGAGCUAUCAGGAAGGCCUAAACACAAGUUUAUUCCAGACAAUUUUCUAGCCCAGUUGGGAUUUCUUCAGAGG
ensembl:lncRNA